CUACGUGCCAGCAGCCGCGGUAAUACGGAGGGUGCGAGCGUUAAUCGGAAUAACUGGGCGUAAAGGGCACGCAGGCGGUGACUUAAGUGAGGUGUGAAAGCCCCGGGCUUAACCUGGGAAUUGCAUUUCAUACUGGGUCGCUAGAGUACUUUAGGGAGGGGUAGAAUUCCGCGUGUAGCGGUGAAAUGCGUAGAGAUGUGGAGGAAUACCGAAGGCGAAGGCAGCCCCUUGGGAAUGUACUGACGCUCAUGUGCGAAAGCGUGGGGAGCAAACAGGAUUAGAUACCCUGGUAGUCCACGCUGUAAACGAUGUCGAUUUGGAGGUUGAGCUUUAAGUUUGGCGCCCGUAGCUAACGUGAUAAAUCGACCGCCUGGGGAGUACGGCCGCAAGGUUAAAACUCAAAUGAAUUGACGGGGGCCCGCACAAGCGGUGGAGCAUGUGGUUUAAUUCGAUGCAACGCGAAGAACCUUACCUACUCUUGACAUCCAGAGAAC
rnacentral:rRNA from 1 species